rnacentral:rRNA from 1 species
UACGAAGGGGGCGAGCGUUGUUCGGAUUUACUGGGCGUAAAGGGCGCGUAGGCGGCCUUCCAAGUCGAGUGUGAAAGCCCCGGGCUCAACCUGGGAGGUGCGCUCGAGACUGGCGGGCUGGAGUUCGGGAGAGGAGCGUGGAAUUCCCAGUGUAGAGGUGAAAUUCGUAGAUAUUGGGAAGAACACCGGUGGCGAAGGCGGCGCUCUGGACCGAGACUGACGCUGAGGCGCGAAGGCGUGGGGAGCGAUCCGG